UCGCGAGCCGCGAGCCGUGUCGUACUGUUUAGAUGCGCGCGCAGCUUCGCCUGACUUCACUCCCUUUGCACCUGUCGCGUUCAACUUCGCGCCUCAGCAACGCGACACGGCUGGCUUUCGCGUGGGGUCUUCCUCGACCACCGUUAACCUCAUCGUACCGCGAGUCAAGUUUACUGCCCGUCGUAUUAAACUCUACAACAUGAGGGAUAGUUGCGUCUACACGUCACCUGUUACCGUGUGACGCAUCAUGAGACACAAUUUUCAUGCGAAUGUUGUCGCAGUGUGUCGUCGAUCAGGGAACGUUUGAAUCGGUGCAAUCGUUUGAGCGGUAACAUUCGAAGCUCGAGGAAUCUCCUUGUCCGAAGUGAACUGUGACAGAGUUAAAUUGCGAUAGCCGGCGGUGGUUAUGUGUGCGUGUGUGAGAUCAGAAUUCAGGAGAAUUCAGGGAAUGGGCCACAAGUGCAGCGAAACUGUCAAGUACAGUCGGCUGUUGUGCAACUAAGUGCAUCAGCUGGUCAUCGAGGUUGUCGAACAAACGUAAUUGGCGUCGUCAUCACUCAUGAAGACUUCAAGUUUACCGAAUUACGGAACAUCUAGACAAUCGGGAGGUUAUCGAACGCCGAAUUGCCACGUCGUCUAGGGAUAAAAAUGGGAACACGAGCGAUCUACAGGAACCUCGUGCAGAAAGACAUCGCCCUUACCGACGACAUGGAGUCGCUAUCAUUAAAAUCAGACACGGAGUCUUCGAUUCAGCCAUUGUCCGCACGAUCAACGGAAUCUCCUCUACCGGAAGCAUACGUGCUCAGUUAGUAACAUUUCUACUUCCACUAGAUUUUGCAAAUACUAACAAUUAUCACUCGAACAUAUAUUUAAACGUAUACAAUUAACAAAUUUUUAAUACAGCGCCAUGUUAUCGAUGCAUGUUGUAUCAUCAUCGUACUAGUUUUUAUUCUUAUAUUUAAAGUACAAAUGCCAUAUAACUCAUUUGAAAUUGCAUUUCUUAAAAUCAAUCGCGCUAUGUAAUUCACUAAAUCGGAUAACAUAUUCAACAUAAGAUAUUUUAUCUUCUUAAUCCUAUACCUCAAGAAAUUAAGGAAUUCUGCAAACAUAUUAAUUUCAAUAUAAAAAUAUCUCUUCGAACAAGAUGCAUUUCAUCAUCAUCAUGCAAGGAUCAUAUGAUUUGUAAAUUUAAAUUUUGUA